GUAGUACUCCCUCCGUCCGGAAAUACUUGUCAUCAAAAUAAAUAAAAGGGGAUGUAUCUAGAUACAUCCCUUUUUGUCCGUUUUGAUGACAAGUAUUUUCGGACGGAGGAAGUAUGUU
rnacentral:pre_miRNA from 1 species